CUAUCUUUGUUACAGCAGUAGGGAUAAGAACUGGAUAUGGGUGUGGAGAAGAAAAUAAGUCCAAUGUUUUGGUAAGCAGAAGGGAAGAAGUUAGGACUGAAGGAAAGGAGGUUCAAACGGUGGUUUGAGCUUGAAUGAGAAUGGGAUAAUUUUAUGUCUGGAGUAAUGAGAUUGACAUGCUAGACAAGGAGGUUAUGGUGAGAAGCUUGGGAAGUAAACAUAGCUGGAGAUACCUGAAGAGUGAAACUGGAAUAAGAAGUUAUGGGUUGGGUCUGGAUUAAUGCUGAAUAGACAGGGCUGUAAAUCUUGUAUUUGAGAGAACAAGCAGAAAUUUGUGCCUGCUGAGGAACACGGCAAUCCGGAGCCUGAGUGACACCAUCUCCCUCUGCUGCAA